AACGCACGAGACCUGCGGACCUGCGGAGGGAUCAUUAUAGAGUUUUUAACUCCCAAACCCAUGUGAACUUACCUUUGUUGCCUCGGCGGAGCCUACCCGGUACCUACCCUGUAGCGCCCCGCCGGUGGACUUCUAAACUAUUGUUAUUUUAAUGAUAUCUGAGAGUCUUAUUUUAAUAAGUCAAAACUUUUAGCAACGGAUCUCU
rnacentral:misc_RNA from 1 species